CUGCAGUGAUGAGCCUCGAGGUGAAUGAUCUGGUACUGCUUCCUUCCAGGGAAACUGUGACCAGAGAAUGAUGUCAGUUUGAAUCUUCUCUCUGAGCAG
ensembl:snoRNA Z30 small nucleolar RNA